rnacentral:rRNA from 1 species
CCUACGGGUGGCAGCAGUGAGGAAUAUUGGUCAAUGGGCGCGAGCCUGAACCAGCCAAGUAGCGUGAAGGAUGACUGCCCUACGGGUUGUAAACUUCUUUUAUAAAGGAAUAAAGUGAGGCACGUGUGCCUUUUUGUAUGUCCAUUAUGAAUAAGGAUCGGCUAACUCCGUGCCAGCAGCCGCGUUAAUACGGAGGAUCCGGGCGUUAUCCGGUUUUAUUGGGUUUAAAGGGAGCGUAGAUGGGUUGUUAAGUCAGUUUUGAAAGUUUGCGGCUCAACCGUACAAUUGCAAUUGAUACUGGCAGCCUUGAGUACAGUUGAGGUAGGCGGAAUUCGUGGUGUAGCGUUGAAAUGCUUAGAUAUCACGAAGAACUCCGAUUGCGAAGGCAGCUUACUAAACUGCCACUGACAUUGAUGCUCGAAAGUGUGGGUAUCAAACAGGAUUAGAUACCCGAGUAGUC